UAACUAUACUUUUUGCUUCAACAAAAGAUUCUUUAUCCAUUGAAGAUUGAUUAGUUACUUGAAAUAUAUGGUUUAUAGCAUUAAUCUCAAACUCAAUUCCUGGAGGGCCACAGCUCUGCACAGUUUAGCGCCAACUCUAAUCAAACACACCUGAUCCAGCUAAUCAAGCUCUUCAGGAUUACUAGAAACUUCCAAGCAGGUGUGAUUUGGAGCUGGUUGGAGCUAAACUCUGCAGAGCUGUGGCCCUCUAGGAAUUGAGUUUGAGACCACUGGUUUAUAGGCACAUAAGCACUUCUAAUCACAUCCUGCUCCAGUGAGACCAACUGCCAUUGAGAUGAAUGGAGAUGCUAACGGCUAACAGCUUCCUCCAGGUUAUUGUACUGGGACUUUAUUUCCCACGAGUCGCACCUGCUGUCGCCUCUGGAGCUCACUGUGUGUUCAGUGCUGAUGGAACGCAGAGCGGACGCAGCCUGACAUCUGAGAACGCUGAGAUCUCACGUCUAAAAGAACACAAGAUGGAGAAGGUGGAAGGGAAGGUAAAUGUUCAGUGAGGCCUGGAUUAAUCUUCUCCUUUCUCUAAUCCGACUUCCUGCUGAGGAACCCGUACUUCACCUUUCAUCUUUUCAUCCUAAAUUAAUUAUUGUGGAUUUAAGCUUUUGUGUGUGUGUGUAUUAAUGCACGUUUUAAUGAAAUGUGGUGGUCUGCGUUGGUUUAUAUCCAAGCGAGAGUGAUGGACCUGUUGCUGGGGGAACAAGCUUUUUUAUCUUAAAAACAUUGAUUUCUCAAAGUGUUUUUACCAACAUGUGGUCUCCCAGGGAAGGUAUUGGCUCUCAGCUUUCAUAUUUUAUUCUAUAUUAG
ensembl:lncRNA